rnacentral:rRNA from 1 species
AUUGAACGCUGGCGGCAGGCCUAACACAUGCAAGUCGAACGGUAACAGGAAACAGCUUGCUGUUUCGCUGACGAGUGGCGGACGGGUGAGUAAUGUCUGGGAAACUGCCUGAUGGAGGGGGAUAACUACUGGAAACGGUAGCUAAUACCGCAUAACGUCGCAAGACCAAAGAGGGGGACCUUCGGGCCUCUUGCCAUCGGAUGUGCCCAGAUGGGAUUAGCUAGUAGGUGGGGUAACGGCUCACCUAGGCGACGAUCCCUAGCUGGUCUGAGAGGCUGACCAGCCACACUGGAACUGAGACACGGUCCAGACUCCUACGGGAGGCAGCAGUGGGGAAUAUUGCACAAUGGGCGCAAGCCUGAUGCAGCCAUGCCGCGUGUAUGAAGAAGGCCUUCGGGUUGUAAAGUACUUUCAGCGGGGAUGAAGGGAGUAAAGUUAAUACCUUUGCUCAUUGACGUUACCCGCAGAAGAAGCACCGGCUAACUCCGUG